GACGGAUUAAACCAGACGAGAUCCGAUUCGAUAUUUAGGACAACACUGGUUUGGUCGAACUCAGAUAAAAAUUUAUCCGUCACCAAAACACAGCUGAUUUGAUUAUCCUACAGUGUGGGCUGAAGAACAAAUGGGAUCAGAUGAAUUCGCACCCGUAAUUUAUAUCCAAAGUUUUGGAUCGGGCAAGAAACGACAGACCGAAUUAAACUGAUUUCGGCACUGAUAAUUUGUUCGGCGUGAUUCGACCGAAAUUAGCCGAAACACAAUAUGCGAACGUAUACGCGAUUUUUGUCGUCGAAACCGCGUGCUGAAGAAUUAAUUGGAUUAUAACCUCGCGCAUGAUUUCGCGCGAUUCAAAUUAUUUUACCCCGAACAUUUUAGUCGUCGAGUUCAACUAAUUUGCCCGGGAUAACAAUCAUCUUAGUGAGUCGGACUUCCAAAUUCGUAUUCGCGCGAGCGAUGAGUUUUAAAUAAUCACCGGACGCACCGAUGUUCGGAACGACUACGUUCCGAAUAAUAUGGAAAUUUCGGAAGAGCCCGGAUAGAUAAAAAUAAAAACGACGUCGCACUCACGACAGACGGAACAGAUGCGAUAUUAAAAUCGUGAUAGGCAAAAAUAAUUAGACCUUAGUGUCCGUCUUAUUUACUGAUAUCACGUGCUUAAAUUCGUACUCAUUGUCGAGCGGAAUAUAAACACCUGGGGUGUUACAGCCCUCCCCCUUAAAAGAAUCUCGUCCCGAGAUUCGGAGCGAAAGACUUUUAAGAGUAGAGAAGCAUGUAAACCACGUCCAUAUCAGCGGUAAUCACAAGGCAGUCUUGAGCGAAGGCGAGUGCCUCAGGAUGUGGUUUCUCUAGCGGACAUAACAUGUAUUGCCUUAGGCCAAUUUAGAGAUGUCCACCAAUAGAGACGAUGUCUGCCAGAGGAACAUAUAAGGUUCCAUGUGUGCAGUUUGCUUUUUUUGAUGACACUAUACUAUCUGAGUCUGUCGAGCGAGCGGCAAAUACACGACUUUACCCAAACAGAAUCAGAUGCACCAUCUUGGGUAAAACACACAGAAAGAGGUUUACCAACAAGUGGUCACAAUGAGUUCGUAGCACACGAGACGGGUGUGAAUGUCGAAUAACAUCACAUUUAACUCGUGGCUAGCUAGAAAAUCCAAGUCCAAGAAAAUGAUAGACUUGCAAAAUCACCAGCGAAGGGAUAGGCAGAUG
rnacentral:lncRNA from 1 species